rnacentral:rRNA from 1 species
AAAUUGAAGAGUUUGAUCAUGGCUCAGAUUGAACGCUGGCGGCAGGCCUAACACAUGCAAGUCGAACGGUAACAGGAAGAAGCUUGCUUCUUUGCUGACGAGUGGCGGACGGGUGAGUAAUGUCUGGGAAACUGCCUGAUGGAGGGGGAUAACUACUGGAAACGGUAGCUAAUACCGCAUAACGUCACAAGACCAAAGAGGGGGACCUUCGGGCCUCUUGCCAUCGGAUGUGCCCAGAUGGGAUUAGCUAGUAGGUGGGGUAACGGCUCACC